AAAUUGGAAACCCCAGUUGGAGAAUCUUCAACCUCCUCCAUGUUUCAAAUGCUCGUUGCCUUUGGGAUGGGAGCAAAGUAAUGCCAUGGCAACUGCUGGGUGCAUAAGGGCCUGGGGGCCAUAAAGGGUCUGAGUGGUUGUGUCCAGGUUAUAGUCAUCCAUAGUGAGGAUUCCCCCUCCCCAUACCCGAGACCCAGAAAAAGGACUGGACAGAAGAAACACCAUUGAUAACCAAUAGAAAUAUGCCUGAGCGAUAGCUGGCAGCUGCCACUGGAACUUUCUUUGUAUUGGGCUUGGGAGAAUGGCAUAUGCUGGAGGAGGGGGAGAGGAAGGGCUUACAGAGAAAAACAUAGAAACUGAGAGGGUUUGAGUAGUUCGGGGGAACAGCUACAUGGAAUACUCUGAAAGCCUGGUCCCCCUAACAAGGAAAG
rnacentral:lncRNA from 1 species